UUAUAGUUCCUCAGAUGACUCUAGCUGGUUUGCAAUAAAUAUAUUUGAGGAUCAAGAAACUUAUUUAUGGUCACAUCACAUUUGAUUCAAUUGACCUACAAAUUCACUUGGAAGCAUCAGCAUGACUAGAUCACUGGCCAUCCCUCACAGGGAGAUGUCUCCACCAUCUCAGCUAUAGAAGGCUCCUUGUUGUGCUAGACACUUAAAAGUGUAGCGAAAAUGUCUGUUCUACAUCAUGAAGUUUGGAAGUUGUAUUCCUUCCAAUGUUUGGUGGUGUAUUGACUUUCUACGGGUAUGUUCGGUGGCUUUAAAUAUCACCCGCUAAGAUUCGUGGUGCACUUGGAUCAGUCAACCAGCUUUUCAUUUGCAUCAGAAUUCUUGCAGCUUCGGUGGCCGGAUUUCGAGACCGUUAUGGCAUUUGUUUUGAAUUUGGGAUAUAAAGUCAGCUUGAUUGA